CACCCAUCUAUUCACUCAACCCUGGGCUGCUCUUAGAACAAGAUUUCCAUACCAACUAUUUGCAUUGUUAGUUGCAUCAUUUAACAUCUUUGUUAUGCAUGUUUUUAAAAGAGAGACAUACACAGACUAUAGUGUACAUUCCAUUUAUUUUAGGGCAUUUGUUUAGAUUGCAAUAUUUGUGCUAUACCAGAUGGAUUCAGUGAGAUGUGUUUGUUGAAAUAGUUUGAGAUUAAAGCUAGAAUCCUUAAUUGAAACAAUAACAAAGCAGUCACCCUGCCUGUGUUUUGGUAAAACGCUGAAGGAUGGGCCUGGAGAAAUGUAACCGCUCUCAAACUCAGAGCUAUUAAUGCAAGGACUGAACAUCCAUGAUAUCAACAAUAUAGUUGAACUAAGGCAUUUAUAAGAUAUUCAAGAAUCAAUGGGUAUAUAUCAUUUAUAAAUCCCAAAAUGGAUGUAGCAACUAUAGAUUCCCACUUUAACUUCAAUGAAAAUGAUACAAUCUCCCAGAAAUGUUCACAGCAGAGCCCAUAGGGGCCACUGGAACCAGUUGGUUGAAAUUCUAUUAUUUCUGUACCAGGCAGUGAAAAUUGAGUAACACAUUUGGUGAUAACAUUCAACAUCAGAAGAGAUUACUCCCCUAGAAUUCUAUUCAGAAUGUGAACUGUAUUUCCAGGAAGAAUCAAGAGGUUGCACAAAUCAUUUCUAAUGAACUCAAGCUUUGGUCUAACAACAAUCAUGAUAAAGAUGGGAUAGAAACUUAAAAUGCCAACAGACUCAAAUGACUGACGUUCCCAAUGUACACUGUUCAAGAAACUUCAAGGCAGCAGUCAUUCUGUUGGGCUGAGAAUUUACCCAGGAUUACAUGCUCUAACAAAGAUAGGAAAGCCACCAAGCAAUAUGCAAAGUCACCCUUCAGCAUUAAGUAAACAUUAGGAUACUGGCCUAGCUAAAUCACAUAGGAUACUGGCCUAGCUAAAUCACAUAAGAUACAAUAUUAAAAAAACAUUCCAAUUCAAACAGUGAGUUUUUCCCCGUAUGGACACACUUAGCAAAAAAACGACAGAGCGUGACGAGUUAUUCACAGAUUGUGUAUACUAAGCACGUCAGAAAUACAGUUGUGUACAGGAAACAAACUUUCAUUUCUACUGUAUGAUUUAAAUCAGAUGUUUAAAACUGCCACCUGGUUUCAGAAUGUAUGUCACUAUCGUGUGGAUGUCAUGUGGGUCACAAGCCAGCUUGGAGGGCACGUCACCUACAACAAGCUCAAGUGGGAGGCCAUAUAGAAAUUACAAGGGGAAUGCACAGUGAAAUGGUUGAAAUGUUCCAUUCUGAUCAAGGGGGUGGACAUCCCCCUCGACAAGAGAACAAACUACCUUCUGGAAUGUUCCUUCGAUGCAGUUGAUUUAAUGAGUGGCAUAAUUCCAGGAUAGAUCACUGGAAAGCCCCGUAAUGGUCAGGGUGUUUCGAAUUUCAACAACAACCCGUGUUACUAACAGACUCUUCCCGCUGACUAAUAGUUUGGGUUUUUCAGAGUAGGUGCUAGUAAAUUGUGUAUCACAGUGACCAGCUACAGGGACCUGCUAAAAUAAAAGGAAACACUUGAGUAAAUGAGGGUACUUAUUGGCAGCUCUGUUAUGGUGUGGAGGUGCAUUUUCCUGGCAUGGUUUAGGUCCACUCAACCCCAUGGAGGACAAGGUAAACUCCAAUAAAUACACAGCCAUUCUGAGUGAUCACCUUCUACCUACUGUAGGGUGAAACAGAUCUACCCUGAUGGGAGUGGUCUCUUCCAGGAUUACAAUGACCCAUCCACUGGGCACAAGUGGUCACAAUGGUUUGAUGAGCAUGAAAAGGAUGUAAGCCAUAUGCCACGGCCGUCUCAGUCACCAGAUCUCAACCUUAUUGAACACUUAUAGGAGAUUCUGGAGCGGAGCCUGAGACAGCGUUUUCCACCACCAUCAACAAAACACCAAAUGAUGGAAUUUCUGGUGGAAAAAAAUGGUGUAGCAUCCCUCCAAGCGUUCCAGAUACUUGUAGAAUCUAUGCCAAGGUGCAUUGAAGCGGUUCUGGCUCGUGGUGCCCAAUGCCCUAUUAAGACACCAUGUUGGGGUUUCCUUUAUUUUGGCAGUUACCUGUAUGCUUGCAACUGGGUAGCAGUCCAAAUGGGGUUCUAUGGCAACUGGGUAGCAGUCCAAAUGGGGUUCUAUGGCAACU
rnacentral:lncRNA from 1 species